rnacentral:rRNA from 1 species
AAGGCCCCUUCGGGGGUGCUCGAGCGGCGAACGGGUGAGUAACACGUGAGUGACCUGCCCUCCACUCUGGGAUAACCCUCGGAAACGGGGGCUAAUACCGGAUAUGACCUGCUGCUGCAUGGUGGUGGGUGGAAAGGCUUUUGCCGGUGGGGGAUGGGCUCGCGGCCUAUCAGCUUGUUGGUGGGGUAAUGGCCUACCAAGGCGGUGACGGGUAGCCGGCCUGAGAGGGCGACCGGCCACACUGGGACUGAGACACGGCCCAGACUCCUACGGGAGGCAGCAGUGGGGAAUAUUGCGCAAUGGGCGGAAGCCUGACGCAGCGACGCCGCGUGGGGGAUGAAGGCCUUCGGGUUGUAAACCUCUUUCGACCUUGACGAAGCUGCCGGUUUUUGCCGGUGGUGACGGUAGGG